rnacentral:ribozyme from 1 species
UGCCCAGCAACUCCUAUCCCUAUCUCCGCGUGGCCCCGGUCGGGCUGCAAGCAACCUAAAGGAAGAUCGAGUUACCAACCCCGUUAAAAACCUUGGUCGCAGGCUGUCAGGGAAGG